rnacentral:rRNA from 1 species
UACAGAGGUCUCAAGCGUUGUUCGGAUUCAUUGGGCGUAAAGGGUGUGUAGGUGGCGCCGUAAGUCGGGUGUGAAAUUUCGGAGCUUAACUCCGAAACUGCAUUCGAUACUGGCGUGCUUGAGGACUGGAGAGGAGACUGGAAUUUACGGUGUAGCAGUGAAAUGCGUAGAUAUCGUAAGGAAGACCAGUGGCGAAGGCGGGUCUCUGGACAGUUCCUGACACUGAGACACGAAGGCCAGGGGAGCAAACGGG